rnacentral:rRNA from 1 species
AUUGAACGCUGGCGGCAGGCCUAACACAUGCAAGUCGAACGAGUGGCGGACGGGUGAGUAAUGUCUGGGAAACUGCCCGAUGGAGGGGGAUAACUACUGGAAACGGUAGCUAAUACCGCAUACCAUCGGAUGUGCCCCGAUGGGAUUAGCUUGUAGGUGAGGUAACGGCUCACCUAGGCGACGAUCCCUACCUGGUCUGAGAGGAUGACCAGCAACACUGGAACUGAGACACGGGCCAGACGCCUACGGGAGGCAGCAGUGGGGAAUAGUGCACAAUGGGCGCAAGCCUGAUGCAGCCAUGCCGCGUGUAUGAAGAAGGCCUUAGGGUUGUAAAGUACUUUCAGUGGGGAGGCGUUACCCGCAGAAGAAGCACCGGCUAACUCCGUGCCAGUCGCCGCGGUAAUAC